rnacentral:lncRNA from 1 species
GACACUACUGUUCUGGAUGGGCAAAGAGAAGAACAAAAUAGCUUAUUUUAGAGAAAGCUGAUCUUGGAUGGGGUACCUAUGAUUAUAGUAGUUCUUCUUGAGUUGACUUACCACCUCCAAAACAAAAUUCCUCUCUGAAAGGUGUUUCCUGAUGCACAGAGGUGGGCUCCCAGCAGCUGAGACUGUGAUGUUUGACCCCAAUACUCAGGAAAGAGAUGACUGGCUUAGUAGUAGUCAUCUAAUGUGGUUAUGUCAGUCCUCUUAGGAGAUUCUCACUCCUAAGAAAUUGAAAUUUUGAAUUGAGAGCAAAAGGUAGGUUUUGAUGGUAGUUCAGUCUCUUAAAUGGCAGUGAUUUAGAGGGAAAUCUUUAAUUUCCUGCCUUGCAGUUCUCUGGAGCUACCUUGAUUCCUAUUCUCUGCAAAGCUUAGCUGUUCAAUUCUGUCUUCAAUUUUGUAAGCCACUGCAAAAUCAAUAAAACCAAUUUUUGGAGUUCCCAUUGUGGCUCAGUGUGUUAAGGUCCUGAUGUUGUCUCUGUGAGGAUGCAGGUUUGAUCUCUGGUCUCACUCAGUGGGUUAAGGAUCCGGCAUUGCUACAAGCUGUGGUGUGGGUGACAGAUGCAGCUUCUUUUCGAUCCCUGGCCUGGGAACUUCCAUAUGCUGCAGGUAUGGCUCCAAAAAAAAAAAAACAAACAAAAAGCGAAUUCUUUCCCAAAUCUGUUAAUGCAAGUGAUAAGAUCUGCAUCUUCUUGGUGGAAAUUAUUAUAAUAUUUAAUUACGUGUGUGUAUGUGCUUGAUUGAAAGAUUUAGUAUUUUACCAGAUGCUAUAGAGCCUAAAAUAUAUAAGGAUUGGAGAUAAAGCAGUAAAAGUAUAUUAUUCACAGAAGAUAUAAUUAUGUAAAUUUAACAAAUGAAUUUAGCAAGUUUGCUGGAUACAAAGUCAGUUUAAAAACUUGUAUUUUUAUAUAUCAAGCAACAAAGAAUUACAAAAUGAAAUUUUAAAAGGAUACCACUUAAAAUGAAUCCGCGACAUAUAAAAAGGAUGAUAAACUAUGACCAAAUUGUAUUUCCCAAGAAUAUGAAGUAAAGCAAUUAUAUAUCUAUGUCCAAAAAUUAAUUGAAAUACAUUACAGAUGAAACAUAAGCACUAGAAAUCUAAAACACGUAGAAGAAAAUAUAGAAGAAGGUUUUUAUGACAUUAGCUUAGUCAAAGCUUUCUGAAAUAUAACACUAAAGGAUUUCCUCUUGUGACACGUUAGAAACGAAUGUGACUAGCAUCCAUGAAGAUGCAGGCACUAUCCCUGUCCUUGCUCAGUGGGUCAAGGAUCCAGUGUUGCCAUGAGCUGUGGUGUAGGUCGUAGACAUGGCUUGGAUCCCACAUUGCUGUGCUGUGGUGUAGGCUGGCAACUGUGGCUCCAAUUUGACCCCUAGCCCAGGAAGUAAAAUAUGCUGAGGGUGCAGCCCUAAAAAAAAAGCUAAAAAAAAAAAUAGGGGUAAGGAUCAAGAUGGCAGAGUAAGACGUCAUGCUUACCUUCUCCCACAAACACAUCAAAAAAACACAUCUAGGAGUCCCGUGAUGGCACAGCAGAAAUAAAUCUGAUUAGGAGCCAUGACCAUGCAGGUUUGAUCCCUGGCCUUGCUCAGUAGGUUCAGGAUCAGGUGUUGCUGUGAGCUGUGGUAUAAGUCACAGAUGCAGAUCAGAUCUGGUGUUGCUGUGGCUGUGAUGUAGGCCAGCAGCUGUGGUUCUGAUUCAACCUCUAGCGUGGGACUCUCCAUACGCCACAGGUGCAGCCCU